GCCAAGCAUCUGUCCUUUCAUUCUCUCAAAUGCUUCUUUGUAUUUGUACUAAAGGGAAAGAGAGCGGGAGAGACCGACGGCUCAGGGACAAGGGACACAGAAUGGAAGAGGCGCUGGCAUCGCAUUGGAAUCAUUCCUUCCACAUGUCUGAGUUAACGAGAAGAACUUACAUUGCUAGCAAGCUCCCCCGAGGCUUUGGCGGCCAACAGAGACAUGGCGUCCAGCUUCAUUUCAAACCCUCUCCCCUUGGUCUUCUGCCAGCCUUCUUUGUACUUCACCUGGCGAAUAAAAACACAGGGUUUCUCUAUGUAGCUCUGGCUGUCCUGGAACUCACUCUGUGGACCAGGUUGGCCUCGAACUCACAGAGAUCUGCCUGCCUCUGCCUCCUGAAUGCUGGGAUUAAAGGCAUGUGCCACCACCACCCAGAAAAUAGGAUUUCUGACGGAAGACUUCAGUACCAUCUGUGAGGAGUGUUGCUCAAAAGUUAACCCUGGACCUUGGACACUGGUGACAGUUGGAAUUAUUAUUAGUUUUUUGAUGUGCUAUAUUAAAUUAUAAAAACAUAUUUUAUUACUUUUUAGAGAUUCAUACUAAAAUAUUUAUAGAUGAAGCUAGAUAAUAUCUUGGAAUUCCUUCAGAAUAAUAGAGAAAGGAAAUAGGAAACACAUAGAUGAAGCAGAAUGUGCUGUGAGUUAGUUGAUAGUUAUCAAAGCUGGUACUUGGGACUUCAAUACAGUGUACUCUACUUUCGCAUAUACUGACAUUCCCUAUAAAAAAAAGUUUGAAAGGAGGGGCAUCAUUUCAUGGCUGUAAUUAGAUAUUCCAGCAUUAGUAAAAGUAAAAUCCUUGG